AAACGGUUACGGCAUAUGGUGAAUGCCUUGGCUAAAACAAGCGAUGAAGGACGCGAUAGUCGGCGAAACGCUUCGGGGAGCUGGCAAAUAAGCUUUGAUCCGGAGAUUUCCGAAUGCGGCAACGCGGUAGAGUGAACCUCUAUCAAUCGUCUGGUUUCCUGGUUGGCUGGAAUCUUGUGGGUUGGUUAUUUAGUAAUUAGUUUCUUGGUUUAAAAUCUUAAAGGAUAAAUAAAACCAGCGAACUAUAAAGCUAGAAACCAAUGAACUAGAAUACCAGAUAACUAGAAAACCAGACGGUGGCAGACCCGUCGAAUUGAAACAUCUUAGUAGGCGGAGGAAAAGAAAACAACAGUGAUUCCCCAAGUAGUGGCGAGCGAAAGGGGAAAAGCCUAAACCGAUCUAGUUUCCUGGUUGGCUGGAAUCUUGUGGGCUGGUUAUUUAGUGACUGGUUUCCUGGUUUAAAUCUUAAAUGAUAAAUAAACCUAGUGAAUCAGUAAAUUAAAAACUAGCAAACUAGAGCACCAGAUAACUAGAAAACUAGAUCGGGGUUGCGAGGUAGUUAUUCCUAUUUAAUUAGGGCAAUUUAAAAUUUAUUUCUAGCCGAAAUACUCAGGAAAGGGUAUUCCAUAGAGGGUAAUAGACCCGUAGGCGAAAGGAAUAAAUAAUUGUAGUAAUUAUUCUCAAGUAAGGCGGGGCCGGUGAAACCCCGUCUGAAUCUGGGACCACUACUGUCCCAAGGCUAAAUAUUGUUUUAGACCGAUAGUGAACAAGUACCGUGAGGGAAAGGUGAAAAGUACCCCGAUAAGGGGAAUGAAAUAGUUUCUGAAACCAUAUGCUUACAAAGAGUCAGAGCGGAUCUGGUUUACUGGUUUAGCUGGUAGCCUAGUUGCUUGGUUAUUUAAAAGAAUUCAGUUUUAUCUAAGAGUUUAAGUUAAAGUUAAAUAAUCAUAAAACUAGCAAACUAGAAAACUAGCAAACCAGAUCUGUAAUGGCGUGCUUUUUGCAGAACGAGCCAACGACUUAUUUUAUGCGGCAAGCUUAAGUCCAUUUCUGGAACUAGGCAUAGUGAAAGCGAGGCUUAACCGCCGAUUAGUCGUAUAGAAUAGACCCGAAACCAGGCGAGCUAUACUUGAGCAGGGUGAAUCCCGAGUAAUAUCGGGAGGAGGCCCGAACCCACCGGUCGUUCGACUCCGGGGGAUGACUUGAGUAUAGAGGAGAAAUUCCAAUCGAGCCUGGCAAUAGCUGGUUCUUCUCGAAAUAACUGUAGGGUUAGCGUCGAGCAACUAUUUAGUGGAGGUAGAGCUACUGGAAGAGUGGUCGUGACCUUGUGUCAAGCCCACACUACCAAACUCCGAAUGCCAUUAAAACUAUCUCGACAGUCAGAACUCCGGGGCUAAGCUCGGAGCUCAAAAGGGAAACAGCCCAGAUCGCAAUCUAAGGCCCCUAAAUCUAUGUUAAGUGGAAAAGGUAGUGAAAUUGCUUAAACAGCUAGGAGGUUGGCUUAGAAGCAGCCAUCCUUUAAAGAAAGCGUAAUAGCUCACUAGUCUAGCGAUUUUGCAUCGAAGAUGUAGCGGGGCUAAACAUAGUGCCGAAGAUGCGAAUGUGUCUGGUUUCCUGGUUUGCUAGUAAAACUAGUAUUUUAGUUAUUAAUUUUAAUUAAAGGCUAGUCAACUAGAAAGCUAGAAAACCAGACACGUGGUAGAGAAGCGUUCCUAUCUGCUGCGAAGUCAAGCCGUGAGGUUUGGUGGAGCGAUGGGAAGUGAGAAUGUUGGCAUAAGUAACCGCAAUACGUGUGAGACUCACGUACACCGAAAGUCCAAGGUUUCCUCCGCCAUGAUAAUCAGCGGAGGGUUAGGCGACCCUAAGAUCAGCCCCGCUUUUUUGGAGUGUUAUUCAUUUGCAUCUUAAUGAUUCAUUUGAUUAAUAAUCAAAAGCAAUAGUGCUCCGAAAGAGCGGGGGUAGUCGAUGGAUUGCAGGUUAAUAUUCCUGCCCUACUGUAUUAUUUGAUGGAGUGACGCAUUUUAGUAGUCCUUGCCGGUUAUUGGAUUCCGGUAGUCAUUUUAAGGCGGUUGGAUAGGCAAAUCCGCCAACAUAAGUCAAGAAAUGGCUGGAAUUUCAAGUUUACUUGAGAAAACGAGGAUGAGCAGGGUGCCAGGAAAAGCUUCUAAAAUUAGUAAUACAGUAUCCGUACUUAAAACCGACACAGGUGGACAGGGCGAGUAGCCCAAGGUGAACGGGAGAACCCUUGUUAAGGAACUCGGCAAUACAGCGACCGUAACUUCGGGAUAAGGUCUGCCCGUCUGGUAUCUAGUGGGCUGGUUUGCUGGCGAUUUGGUUUGAGUGUGAAUUUAAAAUUUACAUUAAUUAAACCAGAAAACCAGAAAACCAGAAAACCAGUUACCAGAUGGGCCGCAGCUAAAGAUGCCUGGCGACUGUUUAUCAAAAACACAGCUCUCUGCUAACCCGUAAGGGGAUGUAUAGGGGGUGACGCCUGACCAGUGCUGGAACGUUAACGGGAGAGGUGCAAGCCAAUCCCCGAAGCGCCAGUGAACGUCAGCGAUAACUAUAAUCGUUCUAAGGUAGCGAAAUUCCUUGUCGGCUAAAUACCGACCCGCAUUAAAGGCGUAACGACUUGGCAACUGUCUCAACAAGGGACCCGGUGAAAUUGCAAUGGGGGUGAAGAUGCCCCCUACCUACGGCAAGACGAAAAGACCCCGUGGAGCUUUACUACAACUUGGCAUUGCGUUUGAGAUUAUGCUGCCGAGCAUAGGUGGGAGGCUUUGAAGUCCCGAUUCCGGUCGGGAUGGAGCCAACACUGGAAUACCACCCUGUAUGCUUUCGAACGCUAACCCUGGUCUGUUAUCUGG
rnacentral:rRNA from 1 species